rnacentral:lncRNA from 1 species
UGUGCUGACGGUUGGCUCAUGUAGUAUGGAAGUGAGUGUUGCCUGGUCCCUUUUCCGUCGUGGAUUCUGACCUUGAAAGGCUGAUGCUGACAGGAGAUCUGAACUCAUUUGGCCUGCUGUACUUGUGUUAUGAUGUAGUGGUAGCCGAGAUCUGCUCUACUUAUGUUAUGAUGUGGUAGCUGACUAGCUGUUGCUUGGUGUAUGCUAAGUGGUACUGUUGCUUAGGUGGUGUAUGUUAAGUGGUACUGUUGCAUUUGUGGACAGUGUAAUAUUUGAUCACCUCGCUUUUGUUAAUACUAUUAUGCAUGGGUAAUUGUCUUG